UCAUUUCAAGAGCUUCUGAAAUUUUACUCUCAUUGAAGAAUCUUCCCAGAUCAGUUGGAAAUCCAGGCAAUUCAAAGUGGAGAAAAUAAAGG
rnacentral:lncRNA from 12 species